rnacentral:rRNA from 1 species
UACGGGGGGGGCAAGCGUUGUUCGGAAUUACUGGGCGUAAAGGGCUCGUAGGCGGCCAACUAAGUCGGAUGUGAAAUCCCCAGGCUUAACCUGGGAACUGCAUCCGAUACUGGAUGGCUUGAAUCCGGGAGAGGGAUGCGGAAUUCCAGGUGUAGCGGUGAAAUGCGUAGAUAUCUGGAGGAACACCGGUGGCGAAGGCGGCAUCCUGGACCGGCAUUGACGCUGAGGAGCGAAAGCAUGGGGAGCGAACAGGG